UGAGAGGCCACUUUGAGUAAAAAAUAUUACAUAUCACAUCAACUUUAUAGAUGUUUGUAUUUCAAUAGUGAUUUAUGCAAAACAAAUCUUCAAUAUGUUUGGAAGUGUGAACUACAAAAAUAUAUUAUAAAAAAAUAGAGUUACGAAUAACUUGGAUCUCGCUCCAGCAAAAUAUUCUUUCCAAGAAACGUUAGCAGAACGCGAUUAUAGAACGUGAUCUUCCAAAUCUUAGAAGAUCUCACUCUCCAGCUUGUUUCUGGAAACGCUGGAUUAUAAUUCAUUUAUAAUUCUAAUCAUCGACUUAAAAGCUAAAUUUCGCGCGUUAAAGCAACUACGCGACAAUAAACUCGUCGAGUCAGCGAUGAUUUUCAAUAAUUUUGAUAUAUUGAAUUUUCUUUAAGUUUAAAGAAAAAUACGAAUAUUUUUAAUCGUGUCGCGAAAUUACGCAUCAUCCUGUAUAAUAUACGCAUAUACGUGAUUCUUAUUGUCUAAUUGUAUUUGUGAGGAAUCUGAAGGUGCAAAAAAGCACAGAAUACACGUAAUAUGCAGUGCUGAAUAAAAAUGUAUUUCGAAUAAAAUAUAAAUAUAUUUACAAAGAUUAUCUUUCGCGCAGUGUU